CCUACGGGAUGCAGCAGUGGGGAAUAUUGGACAAUGGGCGAAAGCCUGAUCCAGCCAUGCCGCGUGUGUGAAGAAGGCCUUCGGGUUGUAAAGCACUUUCAGUGGGGAAGAAAGCCUUGGGGCUAAUACCCUCGAGGAAGGACAUCACCCACAGAAGAAGCACCGGCUAACUCCGUGCCAGCAGCCGCGGUAAUACGGAGGGUGCGAGCGUUAAUCGGAAUUACUGGGCGUAAAGCGCGCGUAGGCGGUCUGAUAAGCCGGUUGUGAAAGCCCCGGGCUCAACCUGGGAACGGCAUCCGGAACUGUCAGGCUAGAGUGCAGGAGAGGAAGGUAGAAUUCCCGGUGUAGCGGUGAAAUGCGUAGAGAUCGGGAGGAAUACCAGUGGCGAAGGCGGCCUUCUGGACUGACACUGACGCUGAGGUGCGAAAGCGUGGGUAGCAAACAGGAUUAGAUACCGGGUAGUC
rnacentral:rRNA from 1 species